GGCGGUGUAGCUCAGCUGGCUAGAGCGUACGGUUCAUACCCGUGAGGUCGGGGGGUCGAUCCCCUCCACCGCCACUA
rnacentral:tRNA from 2 species